rnacentral:rRNA from 1 species
GACAGAGGGUGCAAACGUUGUUCGGAAUUACUGGGCGUAAAGCGCACGUAGGCGGCUUCUUAAGUCGGUGGUGAAAUCCUGGAGCUCAACUCCAGAACUGCCUUCGAUACUGGGAAGCUCGAGUCCGGGAGAGGUGAGUGGAACUGCGAGUGUAGAGGUGAAAUUCGUAGAUAUUCGCAAGAACACCAGUGGCGAAGGCGGCUCACUGGCCCGGUACUGACGCUGAGGUGCGAAAGCGUGGGGAGCAAACAGG